CCGGGCGAAACAAUUUUAAGGUGACACUGCGUCAAAUAAGUUCUCCAAUAAUAGUAAGAGGUUGUCAUUACCUAAACCAAAUGUAAAAAAAAACAGUAUAUAUCACCUUUUGUUCCUUAUUCACCAACAUAUAGUAUACCGAUUUCCAGUCGACAUAUCAUCUAACUCAGUAAUUUUCAAACGAUGGCAGGGACUGAGAGGCAGAGGCAACACCUCUCAUUUGAUUACAUUAUUUUUGCAUUAUAAUUGCAUUAUUUGCCCUCUGCCUGGAAUAAAUAUCCACCUUCACCAAACUGCCCACCCAUUAGCGUUCUGAUUUGUUUUAUUUGCCUUUCAUCAAAGUAAUUGCUGUUGACUCGAAUGCGGAACAUAAUAAUGUGAUAGACCUGCAAAUAUACAUUGACUAUAGACUAUAGACUAUAGACUGUUCCGUGGCAAUCAGUUUAUGGCA
rnacentral:sRNA from 1 species